rnacentral:rRNA from 1 species
GACGAACGCUGGCGGCGUGCUUAACACAUGCAAGUCGAACGGUGAAGCGCCUUCCUUUUUGGUGGGUGUGGAUGAGUGGCGAACGGGUGAGUAACACGUGAGUAACCUGCCCCCUUCUUCUGGAUAACCGCAUGAAAGUGUGGCUAAUACGGGAUAUUCUGGGUCUGUCGCAUGAUGGGUCUGGGAAAGAUAUUGUUUCGGUGGGGGAUGGGCUCGCGGCCUAUCAGCUUGUUGGUGGGGUGAUGGCCUACCAAGGCGGUGACGGGUAGCCGGCCUGAGAGGGUGGACGGUCACACUGGGACUGAGACACGGCCCAGACUCCUACGGGAGGCAGCAGUGGGGAAUAUUGCACAAUGGGCGCAAGCCUGAUGCAGCGACGCCGUGUGAGGGAUGGAGGCCUUCGGGUUGUGAACCUCUUUCGCCAGUGAAGCAGGCCUGCCUCGUUUGUGGGUGGGUCGACGGUAGCUGGAUAAGAAGCGCCGGCUAACUACGUG